CGGCGCGAGACGCUGCCUGCGCGUCGCCAUGGCAACGCACGUCACCGCCAGGGGAGUCCCGCGCCCCCCCCCUCGUCCCUCCCCAAGCCGCCCGCAGGCCGCCAUGUUGCGGCGCUGACAGGGCCCGGCCCCGCCCCGCCCCGGGGAAAGCCUUUCCGCAGCCCCCGGGGGCAGCCGGGUCCUGAGGGGGGCUCGUUACCGAGGCAGCCCAGUGGGGAGCUUCAUUAUGUGUGUGUGUUACCCGUCUGUUUCCAUCCCCCAGACCUAGCAGGUGAAUCUGACCAUAUGGCAAAUAUAGUGAGGCUUCCAAGGGACGGGAGGGUUUCUGCCUGUGUGUGUGUUUGCAGGCCCACUGGGUGACACUCACCAUGUGGCAAAUACAGCGAUGAAGUCUUUGGUGCAAAGGGGCUAAUUAUGUGUGUGUUUCCCAAAAGACCCAGCGUGCUGGGUUUGAUGAUGCAUGUCUCACUAAUGCAAGGCUGAGAUGGAAGCUUCAUCGUAUGUCCUCAGUGCAUACAAACUCCAAGCUCUCAGAAGCAAGGCUAGCCAUCGGACGAGCAUGGUGUUAAAAGUGCAAUCAAGUCUUAGAAUCAUGUAUAUUUGCAUACAUGGACAGACAUGAGGGGAGAUCAUAAAAUCAUAGAGUGGCUUGGGUUGGAAGGGACCUUAAAGAUCAUCUAAUUCCAAGCCCCCUGCCGUGGGGACACCUUCCACUAGACCAGGUUGCCCAAAGCCCCAUCCAACCCAGCCUUAAACACUUCCAGGGAUGGGGCAUCCACAGCUUCUCUGGGCAACAUGUACCAGUGUCUCACCACCCUCAUAGUAAAAGUUUUUUUCCUAAUAUCUAGUCUAAAUCUAUCCUUUUUUAUUUUAAUGCCAUUCCUCCUUGUCCUAUCACUACGCCCCCUGACAAAGAGUCCCUCCCCAGCUUUUCUGCAGCCCCCUUUAGGUACUGGAAGACUGCUAUAAGGUCUCACCAGAGCCUUCUUUUCUCCAGACUGAACAACCCCAACUGCCUCAGCCUGUCUUCAUAGGAGAGGUGCUCCAGCCCCUUGAUCAUCCUCAUGGCCCUCCUCUGGACUUGCUCUAAUAUGUCCAUGUCCUUCUUGUGCUGGGGGCCCCAGAGCUGAAUGCAGGGCUCCAAGUCGGGUCUCACAAGAGCAGAGCAGAGGGGGAUAAUCCCCUCCCUCAACCUGCUUGCCAUGCUGCUUUUGAUGCAGUCCAGGAUACAGGUUGGCCUUCUGGGCUGCACGCAUUGCAACAUUGCCAGCUCAUGUUGAGCUUCUCAUCAUCACUUCUAAGUCCUUCUCCUCAGGGUGGCUCUCAAUCCAUU
rnacentral:lncRNA from 1 species